GCCCCUGUAGUUCAACGGAUAGAAUGCGAGCUUGCGGAGCUCGUGAUCCAAGUUCGAUUCUUGGCGGGGGCA
rfam:Parcubacteria bacterium GW2011_GWA2_46_9 TX68_C0001, whole genome shotgun sequence.